UCGUGGAUCAGCAUGUCACGGUGAAUACGUUCCCGGGUCUUGUACACACCGCCCGUCACACCAUGGGAGCGGGUCUCGCCAGAAGUAGGUAGCCUAACCGCAAGGAGGGCGCUUACCACGGCGGGGUUCGUGACUGGGGUGAAGUCGUAACAAGGUAGCCGUAUCGGAAGGUGCGGCUGGAUCACCUCCUUUCUG
rnacentral:rRNA from 1 species